GUCGGAGUGGCGGAAUAGGUAGACGCGCCAGGUUGAGGGCCUGGUGUCCGCAAGGACGUGGGGGUUCAAGUCCCCCCUCCGACA
rnacentral:tRNA from 1 species